UGGGGAAUAUUGCACAAUGGGCGCAAGCCUGAUGCAGCCAUGCCGCGUGUAUGAAGAAGGCCUUCGGGUUGUAAAGUACUUUCAGCGAGGAGGAAGGCGUUGUGGUUAAUAACCGCAGCGAUUGACGUUACUCGCAGAAGAAGCACCGGCUAACUCCGUGCCAGCAGCCGCGGUAAUACGGAGGGUGCAAGCGUUAAUCGGAAUUACUGGGCGUAAAGCGAACGCAGGCGGUCUGUCAAGUCGGAUGUGAAAUCCCCGGGCUCAACCUGGGAACUGCAUCCGAAACUGGCAGGCUAGAGUCUUGUAGAGGGGGGUAGAAUUCCAGGUGUAGCGGUGAAAUGCGUAGAGAUCUGGAGGAAUACCGGUGGCGAAGGCGGCCCCCUGGACAAAGACUGACGCUCAGGUGCGAAAGCGUGGGGAGCAAACA
rnacentral:rRNA from 1 species